GUGCUGAUUUCUCUAUCAGCUGUGAUUUUGGUGAUUUGUCCUGUGGUGUUUCAUCUGUGCAACAAAAAUAAUUCAGGACUAGAGGAUGAGAAAAGCAUGUCAGAAUACACACAGAUCAUCUACAGCCUUCAGAUGAGAGAUCUGUCACAGGUCACUGAUUUCACAAUCAAUACAAAAGAUUUUAUGUGAUUGUUGACUUUGUUCAUCUACUUCCUCUCAACUCAUUUUUAGAGAGAAUGAAAGUAGGCUUAUUUCUUAAAAGCACAGUUUUAGCUCUUAAAUGUGUUUCAGUUUGUCUGAUGAGUUUAUUUACUCAAUUUUUAUUGACAUUUUUCUCUGUCUGUAACAGAAAUCACUUCAGGCUGUGACAUAUAAGCACAUGACACAAUGAUCAAGACAGCUAAAAUCAUGCAGCACUAUUUUUUUUGUUAUAAUUAUGAAUCAGUAAAAUUACACAAAAGGAAUUGAUCAUACAAAUUAUUACAAAUAUACAUUGAAUAGAUAAAUUGUUGGUUUAUUACAUUUUUCAGAAAAAAAUCAGGAAAGGGCUACCAAACUGGCUCCAGUUGUAUUCAUUUCAAACUGACACAGUGCCACCCAGUGGACAACAAAAUUAAUAAAUGCCUGCUACAUACAAACCCUACCAACUUUUGUCAGUAUUAGUGGUCCUUUCCUUAUGUUUUUCAGCUCCUCUAAUUCUCAAUCAGCAACCAGACUGAACAUCUCAGUGUUACUGAGAUCUGUCAGCAAUGCUAA